UACGUAGGUGGCAAGCGUUGUCCGGAUUUACUGGGCGUAAAGGGCGUGCAGGCGGUUUGUUAAGUGCAGGGUGAAAGCUCCCGGCUCAACUGGGAGAGGUCCUUGCAUACUGGCAAACUCGAGGGAGGCAGAGGAAAGUGGAAUUCCCGGUGUAGUGGUGAUAUGCGUAGAUAUCGGGAGGAACACCUGUGGCGAAGGCGGCCAUCUGGACCAGCACUGACACUGAGGCACGAAAGCGUGGGGAGCAAACAGG
rnacentral:rRNA from 1 species